CACGCCGUAAACGAUGUCAACUAGCCGUUGGGGGUCUUAGUACCUUUAGUGGCGCAGCUAACGCAUUAAGUUGACCGCCUGGGGAGUACGGUCGCAAGACUAAAACUCAAAGGAAUUGACGGGGGCCCGCACAAGCGGUGGAGCAUGUGGUUUAAUUCGAUGCAACGCGAAGAACCUUACCAGCUCUUGACAUCUUCGGAACUUUCUAGAGAUAGAUUGGUGCCUUCGGGAACCGAAUGACAG
rnacentral:rRNA from 1 species